UGUUUGUUUACCUAAAACCCGGUAGUAUCUACGUCACUAUCCACGACGGGUACAAAACGUAAUUUGUUUUCGAACUCGGCGACGAAAUGCGCACACAAAAUUGAUUAUAAUUAACCCUUAAUCACAAGGAAAUUGAUUACCGGUCGUUAUUUUUGUAUGUCUGUUCAACGGAUUAGGUGCACAACCCGGCGCUCGGUAGCGGCUCCGUUGAACCGAAUGAUGAAGCACUUAUAUCGAUUAUUUGCGCUCCAGGGGUGUACGCCGCCGACGACGAACAGAUCUCUUAUUUUUAUUGUUGUUAUUUUUUAUUUAUUUAUUUUUCAUACAACGUGUGUUCCAACCGCCUAUGCGUUUGUACAACAAAACCAACGAACGUGCGUUAACAGAUUUAUCUUGUGAUUUAUAACCGAAUCCGGGUUGGCUUAACACUUCUCCUUCUCACGCGUACCCUGUGGCUUCUCUAAUGUGUACAUUAAAUACGAGUGCGUGUGCAUAAACGCAAUAUCCUGCUCGGAACACUAUCGUCGAAAACGAAAAGGCCUCAUCGGUAUUGAAAUAUCAUGCCAACAAUAUAGCACUGCGGACGUCGUAAAAACCAACGAAAUUCAUAUUUAUCUCGUCACAUUUAUCACACCCUGCCCCCUUCUUCCCUCUCGGUAAAAAACAAUUAUUACCACGUUGCCGCAGUAUAUUUUCCAUAUCUUUUUCUCGCACCAACUGAGAAUCUGUACCGGUUCACAUAGACAUCACUUUGGCAUUCGUUCACGGCCAAUCGACACCGUGAUUAUGUUUCGACGAUAAUGUCAGCAAACUAUUUUUGUUUUUUUUUUUCAACUUAGAAAAUUAUACAAUCUAUACACAAAAAAUGAAUUCAAUAAGCGCAAUGUAUAUUAUUUACCAUGUGAGGGCUUGAGUGACUUGUGGAAAGAAUCAACCAACAGUGGAAGCACUUUGGCACUAUGUCAGCAAUAAGACCGAAAAAUGUACGCAACAAAUGCAACACAAAAAAACAUGUCGUCAGUUCACACUACAAACAAUUUCUUGGUUUCAUUAUCAGAUCAUAACGAAUGAUCAUCGCCUCUGCUGUUAACUACACAUAAUAUCUAUAUUCUAUAGUGGGUAUGCUAUAUAGAGAUGGGUCUCCAAACUACAGCCCACGAACAAGUUUCAACCGGCCCGUGGCCUACACAGGACGCAUGAAUAUAUUCUGUGAAGUUAUAUGUAUGUAUGUAUGGCUAUACAAAUUUCCAUUACUUUACCUGCAACUUCGUGUUCAGUAGAAAGAUCUUUCAGUACAUUACGUCGUUUAAAAACAUGGCUGAGAAACAGAAUAGGAAAUGAAAAGUUAAGUAGUUUAGGUCUGAUUAAUAUUCAUCGACGAAGAUACGAAAUUAAGGAAUUUUUUUAACAGCAAUUAGAAGGUAUUAUUGAAAAGUAUAUAUUGAG